ACCCCUCCACUCCAUAGGUCAUCAGGAAAGUAGUACGUCGUAUUGCUGCUACGGCAACUACUUUUACUGCUGCUACUACUGCUACUACAGAGGAGGUGAAAGCAGGUGGAGCAGUAGGAGAAGGAGAAGCAGGAGGAAGAGGAGAAGCAGCAGGAGGAGGAGGAGGCAGGAAGGAAAAUAAGGGCAGGAAGAGAAACAAGCGCUCCCGAGGAGGCCCUAAGGCAGAGCAGGAGAGCUCUAAGGGUCAGAGGGGAAAGACUGAGUCUGGAGAAGGGUCAGGGUCGAAGGUGAAAAAGAAGCAAGUGGAAAAGGAUCAAUACUAACAGUCGUGUGCUCAACCUGGUUUGUUGAUGUUUCAUGACUUCCUGGAAGGGAGAUGACUGGAACUUGAAGCAGGAGAACAGCCAAUCAGAAUGUGUGUCUGCAGCUUUCACGUUAACGCAUGGUUUUACAGCAAGACCACUUUUUUGAUUUCGCAUGAGCAUGAAAAACUUACUUUUCUGUCCACAACCUGGGCUCCAGUCAUGACCUGUUGUUACCACGGUGACAGGAGAACAGGGGUGUGGUCUGCUCCAUCAUGGCGUCAGGACAACAGUAGCCACGCCUCCAAGCAUCUCUCGGACCAAUGAGGUACAACAGGACGUUUGAUUGACAGAUUAGAGGAACACUUGGAGUCACCUUCUACAAGCCUUAUAUAUUCUGUCCUGUAGCCACACCACUGGGGUGGGUGUAUAAUGUGGUUGUGUUUUUUAAUAACAACGGGUGGUUUGGUUGUAUAUAAAUGACACUGUAAAAACUUCUGAAGUUAGUCACUGAUCGUUUGUUUUCUGCACUGGUAGGACAGCUUCGCAAAGCAUUGGAAUGAAAUGCCUAUAUUGAUUCCACCUUUAUGAAAAUGCUUGGGUGUUACUGCACAUGUCUAAUUAUCAGCAGGAAAUAUUUGUCAAAUCGAAAUGGUAGCUUGAUUUUAACUCCACUGCAACUCUCAAACAUCACUUCUAUGAACAUAUUUCCUCAGAGUACUAAUAUUUUGAUGCAUGAGAUUCACCUGGUUUGACUUACUUUUCCUCAUUUGCGAACAUUGUAUUAUGAAAUAAGGUGUUACUUCUAUCAGUGUCUGUCUCCUCUGCUCUGGCACUGACUGUUUUAAAGAGACAUGAACACACAGCCACCUGGGGGACAGCAGGACAGAGAGGGAGACUUCAUUCUAAUGCUUUAUGAGGGCCCACUGUGUAACAUGGAAUAUGCCUCUACUAUUAAAGACGUGGAGAUAUGAGAGCUCCCACUAUAUCAUGUAGACUGUCACAUUGAAAAGGGUUAGAGAGUCUUUACCCCAAUAUAUAAUGUAGACUGUCACAUUGAAAAGGGUUAGAGAGCGUUUACCCCAAUAUAUAAUGUAGACUGACACAUUGGAAAGAGUUAGAGAGUGUUUACCCCAAUAUAUAAUGUAGACUGACACAUUGGAAAGGGUUAACAGUUCUCAUGCGUAUUGGCUCCAAACCAAUCAUUGGUCAUUAUUUUAGCAGUGUAAUGUUAUGUUCUAAGCCUGCUGUAGUUUAAAGGGGCAUUAGUUCUUUGGGGUGCCAUAUUUCCUCCCGUUGAUUCUCUUCAUAUGAGACCACCUAAAGCAUUGAUCUGGUAACAACCAGCAUGGAUGUUCCCAUUGUUUAAGCAGAAAUAAAUGGUGUUUAAACUGAAA